UACCCAAUUCCUUUUUUAUAUAUUGUGCUCUCGUUUCUAAGCCUAACAUAAACCACGAAUUCACAAAGCUUUUCAAUCAAAUAAAAAAAAAAAGGUUCGAAUUAUUUGAUCGACCUUUUGAUUCUUUUCGCAUAAUAAUAAUGACAACAUUUAUUCUUCCUCUCUCUUACUCCAUUUCUUAGCUACAAAUCCCUUCACUUCAGGUGAUACUCCAUUUCUCAACAACGAAGGCCUUGACUUCCCUUCCAAAUUUGUAAGGCGAUAUAUCCAGGAAGCUUCGAGCUAGGUGUUUUCUAGCGAGUGUGGCCGAGUUUAGGCAUUAUUCAAGAGGGGUUGAAAUAAAGAGAAAGUAACAGGUACUUGAAGCAUGAAGAACAUAAUGGGAAUGAGUGCAGACAGUUACUUGUUAUGUUUCUUAGUUUUAAUAUUUUGAAUUAGCGUUAUUGUGUUCCCUUAUUUUUAAUCGGUUUUAAAAAGGGCCAUGUUUGAAUUGGCUCCAACUUGUGAAUGUUUUAUUCUACUUUGUUUUGAGGUUGUGAACUUAAAUUUUAUUUUGAAAGUUGGUUUUUAUUUUUAGACUUCCGCUGUGUGACUUUGAAAAUUAGCCUUACCUGUUAUCACGGUGGCGGUAAUAUUUUGGUUAUAUCCUAAAAAGUGUUUUAUUUAGAGUAAAAUGAGUAUUUUUAAAAGAAGGAAAUUUCCAGGGUAUUACAGUUUGGGUGCGCUUUGGCUGUGGUUCGAUGGUGCGGUGGUUUGUGGGUGAGGUGGGUUCGAUGGACUGAC